ensembl:snRNA U6 U6 spliceosomal RNA
GUGUUCGCUUCAGCAGCACAUAUACUAUAAUUGAAAUGAUACAGAGAUUAGCAUGGCCCCUGUGCAAGGAUGACAUUCAAAUUCGUGAAGGGUUCCAUAUUUAA